UACGUAGGGGGGCAAGCGUUGUCCGGAUUUAUUGGGCGUAAAGAGCGUGUAGGCGGCCAGGUAGGUCCGUUGUGAAAACUGGAGGCUUAACCUCCAGCUGUCGAUGGAAACCAUCUGGCUAGAGUCCGGAAGAGGAGAGUGGAAUUCCUGGUGUAGCGGUGAAAUGCGCAGAUAUCAGGGAAGAACACCCGUGGCGAAGGCGGCUCUCUGGGACGGUACUGACGCUGAGACGCGAAAGCGUGGGGAGCGAACAGG
rnacentral:rRNA from 1 species